rnacentral:lncRNA from 1 species
UGCAAGGGAGGAGGGGGCUGCAGUGUUUGGAGGCACUCUUCACGGGUAUUCUGGUCACUGGAAUCCGAAGAGGCAAAGACUAACCUUGUACAACUGCUGUCCUUUUAACUUCUCUCUCUCUCUCUCCCUCUAAUCCUUAGCUGGAGAACUGUAACUGACAACGCCAUCCUUGCAUGUAAUGUCAUAUGUUUCAGCCUCAACAUGAGAGAGAGAGAGAGAGCAGAGCAGUCUGAUAAGAGUGCAACUCAGUAGCAGCAGCAGAUUUGAUUCCAUGGAGAUUUAUGCCCACAAAGACAUCACACUGGCUGUGUCUCCUCCAAUUCGGCAGUGGAUUUAAGGCAGCUCAUGAGGGCGUUGUGGAUCCUUUAGGUUACUGGACGGUGGUUUGUUUGUCUGUAAAGAGAGGGAGAGGGAGCAGCUGAAGACAAAAGGUGGCGGACAGGAACAGUUUUGUUCUUUUGCAGUACAGACUGUAAUGAUUUUUUCCCUCUCUCUCU